rnacentral:rRNA from 1 species
AAACACCUUGGCCUACGUCUUCACACAAACAAUAUGUAUCAGAAUGUAACACCGCGUCUAACGCAAUAAUACAACUUUCAACAACGGAUCUCUUGGCUCUCGCAUCGAUGAAGAACGCAGCGAAAUGCGAUAAGUAAUGUGAAUUGCAGAAUUCAGUGAAUCAUCGAAUCUUUGAACGCACCUUGCGCUCCUUGGUAUUCCGAGGAGCAUGCCUGUUUGAGCGUCGUGAAUCUCUCAACCCACAAAUUGUUUGUUCAGUUUGUGCGGCUUGGACUUGGAGGCAUUGCUGGCGAUGGUCAGCUCCUCUCAAAUGUAUUAGCUGGGCUUAGCUCGGUGGAACGGUUAGUGUGAUAAUUAUCUGCGCUGCCUACUACAUCGGAUCCCGCUUCUAAUCGUCCGCAAGGACAAUUCACUUUGAAUCUGACCUCAAAUCAGGUAG